rnacentral:ncRNA from 1 species
GAAUGAGCCAAAGCGCUUUCCCAAAAAGUUGACAGACUUUUUGGAUAAGAAAUCGCGUCAAAACAAGGACCUAAAGUACGUUGCGUGUUUCAGGAAAAACGCAACGUGCUUUAGGUCGGCAUCACGCCUCCGUCCGUUCGCCCUCAGUCGGAUCGAGGGUCUUUUGCAGG